rnacentral:rRNA from 1 species
UAGUCAUAUGCUUGUCUCAGAGAUUAAGCCAUGCAUGUCUAAGUAUAAGCAAUCUUAUACAGCGAAACUGCGAAUGGCUCAUUAAAUCAGUUAUAGUCUACUUGAUCGUAUCUUCUUACAUGGAUAACCGUAGUAAAUCUAGAGCUAAUACAUGCUAAAAAUCCUGGACGCGGCAACGCGGAAGGGACGAGUUUAUUAGAUUAAAAACCGACACCUCUCCGCGAGGGGAGGUAGCACAGGUGAUUCACAGUAACCGAUCGGAUCGUCGGCCCCGCCGACGACGAUGCAUACGAGUUUCUGCCCUAUCAACUUUAGAUGGUAGAGUAUCGGUCUACCAUGGUCGUAACGGGUGACGGGGGAUUAGGGUUCGAUUCCGGAGAGGGAGCCUGAGAAACGGCUACCACUUCCAAGGAAGGCAGCAGGCGCGCAAAUUACCCAAUCCCGACACGGGGAGGUAGUGACAAGAAAUACCAUUGUAAUGUCUCCUCGAGAGGCUUACGAUUGGAAUGAGUACAAUUUAAAUCCUUUAACGAGGAUCUAUU